UACGGAGGGUGCAAGCGUUAUCCGGAUUCACUGGGUUUAAAGGGUGCGUAGGUGGGCAGGUAAGUCAGUGGUGAAAUCUCCGGGCUUAACCCGGAAACUGCCAUUGAUACUAUCUGUCUUGAACACCGUGGAGGUGAGCGGAAUAUGUCAUGUAGCGGUGAAAUGCUUAGAUAUGACAUAGAACACCAAUUGCGAAGGCAGCUCACUACGCGAAUAUUGACACUGAGGCACGAAAGCGUGGGGAGCAAACAGG
rnacentral:rRNA from 1 species